rnacentral:tRNA from 1 species
CCGCGCGCUGGCGGAGGGCGCGCUGGACGCCGGGAUCGUCCGGCACCCGUGCGACUCGCGCGGCCUCGGGCUCGGCCCGAUGCUGGGGC